rnacentral:rRNA from 1 species
CACGUAGGUGGCAAGCGUUGUCCGGAUUUACUGGGCGUAAAGAGCGCGCAGGCGGUCGAAUAAGUCGAAUGUGAAAGCCCCCGGCUCAACUGGGGAGGGUCAUUCGAUACUGUUCAACUCGAAGGCAGGAGAGGGAAGCGGAAUUCCCGGUGUAGUGGUGAAAUGCGUAGAUAUCGGGAGGAACACCAGUGGCGAAGGCGGCUUUCUGGCCUGUUCUUGACGCUGAGGCGCGAAAGCCAGGGGAGCAAACGGG